rnacentral:rRNA from 1 species
AUUGAACGCUGGCGGCAGGCCUAACACAUGCAAGUCGAACGAGUGGCGGACGGGUUAGUAAUGUCUGUGAAACUGCCUGAUGGAUGGUGAUAACUACUGGAACCGGUAGCUAAUACCGCAUACCAUCAUAUGUGCCCAGCUGGGAUUAGCUUGUUGGUGGGUUAACGGCUCACCACGGCGACGAUCCCUAGCUGGUCUGAGAGGAUGACCAGCCACAGUGGAACUGAGACACGGUCCAGACUCCUACGGUAGGCAGCAGUGGGGAAUAUUGCACAAUGGGCGCAAGCCUGAUGCAGCCAUGCCGCGUGUAUGAAGAAGGCCUUCGGGUUGUAAAGUACUUUCAGCGGGGAGGCGUUACCCGCAGAAGAAGCACCGGCUAACUCCGUGCCAGCAGCCGCGGUAAUAC